rnacentral:rRNA from 1 species
UAACGCGUGAGGAACCUGCCUCAAAGAGGGGGACAACAGUUGGAAACGACUGCUAAUACCGCAUAAGCCCACAGCUUGGCAUCGAGCAGAGGGAAAAGGAGUGAUCCGCUUUGAGAUGGCCUCGCGUCCGAUUAGCUAGUUGGUGAGGUAAUGGCCCACCAAGGCGACGAUCGGUAGCCGGACUGAGAGGUUGAACGGCCACAUUGGGACUGAGACACGGCCCAG